UGGGGUUUUGGCUCAGUGGUAGAGCACUUGCCUAUCAUGCCAGGCACUGGGUUCAAUUCUCAACAUCAA
rnacentral:tRNA from 1 species